AAAAAGACAAACCCUAGGUUUUCGUGUCCAACUUUGACUGUCCAUCUUAUAUGAAAUUUUUUUAUAAUUCGUAUUUUUAUUGUUGUUAGAUAAUAAAACAUGAUUAAUAUUUUAUGCGUGACUUGUCUUUUUAAUUUUUUUCAUAAUUUUUUUAAAUAAAACGGAGGGUCAAACGUUAGACACGGAAACCUGGAUUUGUC
rfam:Oryza glaberrima chromosome 1 Oglab01_0300_11, whole genome shotgun sequence.